rnacentral:rRNA from 1 species
AUACGGAGGGGGCUAGCGUUGUUCGGAAUUACUGGGCGUAAAGCGCGCGUAGGCGGAUUGAUCAGUCAGGGGUGAAAUCCCGAGGCUUAACCUCGGAACUGCCUUUGAUACUGUCAAUCUUGAGUUCGAGAGAGGUGAGUGGAAUUCCUAGUGUAGAGGUGAAAUUCGUAGAUAUUAGGAAGAACACCAGUGGCGAAGGCGGCUCACUGGCUCGAUACUGACGCUGAGGUGCGAAAGCGUGGGGAGCAAACAGGAUUAGAAACCCUUGUAGUCC